rnacentral:rRNA from 1 species
GGCAGCAGUCGAGAAGCUUCGGCAAUGGGCGAAAGCCUGACCGAGCGACGCCGCGUGAGCGAUGAAGGCCCUUGUGGUUGUAAAGCUCUGUCAGGAGGGGAUAAAGCACCGAGGUUAAUACCCUCUGUGUCUGAAGGUACCUCCAGAGGAAGCUCCGGCUAACUCCGUGCCAGCAGCCGCGGUAAUACGGAGGGAGCAAACGUUGUUCGGAUUUACUGGGUGUAAAGGGUGCGUAGGCGGCUUCGUGUGUCGGAGGUGAAAUCCAGCGGCUCAACCGUUGGACUGCCCCCGAAACUGCGAGGCUUGAGUCCGUGAGAGGUUGGUGGAAUUCCUGGUGUAACGGUGAAAUGUGCAGAUAUCAGGAAGAACACCCGUGGCGAAGGCGGCCAACUGGCACGGUACUGACGCUGAGGCACGAAAGCUAGGGUAUCGAACGGGAUUAGAUACCCCGGUAGUCCUAGCCGUAAACGAUGUCCACUUGGUGUCGGAGGUCUCACCCCUUCGGUGCCGGCGCUAACGCAUUAAGUGGACCACCUGGGGAGUACGAUCGCAAGGUUGAAACUCAAAGGAAUUGACGG